AGCGUACACGGUGGAUGCCCUGGCAGUCAGAGGCGAUGAAGGACGUGCUAAUCUGCGAUAAGCGUCGGUAAGGUGAUAUGAACCGUUAUAACCGGCGAUUUCCGAAUGGGGAAACCCAGUGUGUUUCGACACACUAUCAUUAACUGAAUCCAUAGGUUAAUGAGGCGAACCGGGGGAACUGAAACAUCUAAGUACCCCGAGGAAAAGAAAUCAACCGAGAUUCCCCCAGUAGCGGCGAGCGAACGGGGAGCAGCCCAGAGCCUGAAUCAGUGUGUGUGUUAGUGGAAGCGUCUGGAAAGGCGCGCGAUACAGGGUGACAGCCCCGUACACAAAAAUGCACAUGCUGUGAGCUCGAUGAGUAGGGCGGGACACGUGGUAUCCUGUCUGAAUAUGGGGGGACCAUCCUCCAAGGCUAAAUACUCCUGACUGACCGAUAGUGAACCAGUACCGUGAGGGAAAGGCGAAAAGAACCCCGGCGAGGGGAGUGAAAAAGAACCUGAAACCGUGUACGUACAAGCAGUGGGAGCCUCUUUAUGGGGUGACUGCGUACCUUUUGUAUAAUGGGUCAGCGACUUAUAUUCUGUAGCAAGGUUAACCGAAUAGGGGAGCCGAAGGGAAACCGAGUCUUAACUGGGCGUUAAGUUGCAGGGUAUAGACCCGAAACCCGGUGAUCUAGCCAUGGGCAGGUUGAAGGUUGGGUAACACUAACUGGAGGACCGAACCGACUAAUGUUGAAAAAUUAGCGGAUGACUUGUGGCUGGGGGUGAAAGGCCAAUCAAACCGGGAGAUAGCUGGUUCUCCCCGAAAGCUAUUUAGGUAGCGCCUCGUGAAUUCAUCUCCGGGGGUAGAGCACUGUUUCGGCAAGGGGGUCAUCCCGACUUACCAACCCGAUGCAAACUGCGAAUACCGGAGAAUGUUAUCACGGGAGACACACGGCGGGUGCUAACGUCCGUCGUGAAGAGGGAAACAACCCAGACCGCCAGCUAAGGUCCCAAAGUCAUGGUUAAGUGGGAAACGAUGUGGGAAGGCCCAGACAGCCAGGAUGUUGGCUUAGAAGCAGCCAUCAUUUAAAGAAAGCGUAAUAGCUCACUGGUCGAGUCGGCCUGCGCGGAAGAUGUAACGGGGCUAAACCAUGCACCGAAGCUGCGGCAGCGACGCUUAUGCGUUGUUGGGUAGGGGAGCGUUCUGUAAGCCUGUGAAGGUGUGCUGUGAGGCAUGCUGGAGGUAUCAGAAGUGCGAAUGCUGACAUAAGUAACGAUAAAGCGGGUGAAAAGCCCGCUCGCCGGAAGACCAAGGGUUCCUGUCCAACGUUAAUCGGGGCAGGGUGAGUCGACCCCUAAGGCGAGGCCGAAAGGCGUAGUCGAUGGGAAACAGGUUAAUAUUCCUGUACUUGGUGUUACUGCGAAGGGGGGACGGAGAAGGCUAUGUUGGCCGGGCGACGGUUGUCCCGGUUUAAGCGUGUAGGCUGGUUUUCCAGGCAAAUCCGGAAAAUCAAGGCUGAGGCGUGAUGACGAGGCACUACGGUGCUGAAGCAACAAAUGCCCUGCUUCCAGGAAAAGCCUCUAAGCAUCAGGUAACAUCAAAUCGUACCCCAAACCGACACAGGUGGUCAGGUAGAGAAUACCAAGGCGCUUGAGAGAACUCGGGUGAAGGAACUAGGCAAAAUGGUGCCGUAACUUCGGGAGAAGGCACGCUGAUAUGUAGGUGAAGUCCCUCGCGGAUGGAGCUGAAAUCAGUCGAAGAUACCAGCUGGCUGCAACUGUUUAUUAAAAACACAGCACUGUGCAAACACGAAAGUGGACGUAUACGGUGUGACGCCUGCCCGGUGCCGGAAGGUUAAUUGAUGGGGUCAGCGCAAGCGAAGCUCUUGAUCGAAGCCCCGGUAAACGGCGGCCGUAACUAUAACGGUCCUAAGGUAGCGAAAUUCCUUGUCGGGUAAGUUCCGACCUGCACGAAUGGCGUAAUGAUGGCCAGGCUGUCUCCACCCGAGACUCAGUGAAAUUGAACUCGCUGUGAAGAUGCAGUGUACCCGCGGCAAGACGGAAAGACCCCGUGAACCUUUACUAUAGCUUGACACUGAACAUUGAGCCUUGAUGUGUAGGAUAGGUGGGAGGCUUUGAAGUGUGGACGCCAGUCUGCAUGGAGCCGACCUUGAAAUACCACCCUUUAAUGUUUGAUGUUCUAACGUUGACCCGUAAUCCGGGUUGCGGACAGUGUCUGGUGGGUAGUUUGACUGGGGCGGUCUCCUCCUAAAGAGUAACGGAGGAGCACGAAGGUUGGCUAAUCCUGGUCGGACAUCAGGAGGUUAGUGCAAUGGCAUAAGCCAGCUUGACUGCGAGCGUGACGGCGCGAGCAGGUGCGAAAGCAGGUCAUAGUGAUCCGGUGGUUCUGAAUGGAAGGGCCAUCGCUCAACGGAUAAAAGGUACUCCGGGGAUAACAGGCUGAUACCGCCCAAGAGUUCAUAUCGACGGCGGUGUUUGGCACCUCGAUGUCGGCUCAUCACAUCCUGGGGCUGAAGUAGGUCCCAAGGGUAUGGCUGUUCGCCAUUUAAAGUGGUACGCGAGCUGGGUUUAGAACGUCGUGAGACAGUUCGGUCCCUAUCUGCCGUGGGCGCUGGAGAACUGAGGGGGGCUGCUCCUAGUACGAGAGGACCGGAGUGGACGCAUCACUGGUGUUCGGGUUGUCAUGCCAAUGGCACUGCCCGGUAGCUAAAUGCGGAAGAGAUAAGUGCUGAAAGCAUCUAAGCACGAAACUUGCCCCGAGAUGAGUUCU
rnacentral:rRNA from 1 species